AUGUUUUAUUCUUGCUAAAUAAUUUACUUUAAAAUUAUUUUACAUGUAAAGUUUUUUGUGAAUUUAUUAUAAUUUCUUAAAGAAAUAAUUUAACAAUAAAAUAUUUUAUUUAUUCGCAGUAAUUAAUAUUAUAAAAUAAAAGAAAUUUUGAUAUAGUAAUUUUUAUUAGUAUUGGUCAAAUUUGUGCCAGCUACCGCGGUUAUACAAAUAAUACAAGUAAAUUUUAUUAGUAUUAGUUAAAUGUAUUAUUAAAAAAUAAAUAAAAAUUUUUUAGGUGAAAUUUUAAAAUUUUUAUUAUUUUUAUUAUAAAAAUUAUUUAAGCUAUGAAAUUUUAAAAUUAAACUAGGAUUAGAUACCCUAUUAUUUAAAAAGUAAAAUAAAAAUGCUAGAGUAGUAUUAGAUAUAAUCUUGAAACUUAAAGAAUUUGGCGGUGUUUUAGUCUAUUCAGAGGAAUUUGUUCUGUAAUCGAUAACCCACGUAUAUCUUACUUAAGUUUGUAAUCAAUUUGUAUAUCGCCGUCAUCAGAAUAUCUUAGGAGAGAAAAUAAUUUUCUUAAAUUUUUAUUAAAAAUGAUGUCAGGUCAAGGUGCAGUUUAUAUUUAAGUAGAAAUGAAUUACAAUAAAAUUUAGUUAAAACGAAUAAUUUUUUUAAAUAUAAGAUUUGAAGGAGGAUUUGAUAGUAAAUUAUUUUUAUAAAAAUUAAUUGAUUAAAGCUCUAAAACAUGCACACAUCGCCCGUCGCUCUCAUUAUAAUAAAAAUUUAAAAUGAGAUAAGUCGUAACAUAGUAGAUGUACCGGAAGGUGUCUCUAGAAUGA
rnacentral:ncRNA from 1 species